rnacentral:lncRNA from 1 species
AUCAUGUAGUCUUGAUGAGCUCCUUUCCAAGUCUUCCCCUUCUUUAUUUGAUUUUGGUGUUGUUUUUGUGUGUGAAAGAGAGAAAAAUGGUAGAGAUGAAGGCUAGGGUUUGGAAUUGGAGUGUUGGGGAAGAUGAAGUGGGUGUGUGUGGUGUUAGAUAUGAAAAGGGAGGAAAAAAUGGGUAUUUGGGGGCUGAAAUCGCGUCUGGGCCCCACCAAAACCAUCAAUUCCGUGUUUCUCCCGCGGUCACGGCCGUGACCGCGGCGUAGGACCGUGGGGGAGCUUUUGGAGAGGCCCGCGGUCGGGCCCGCGGCCGCGGCCCGGACCGCGG